rnacentral:rRNA from 1 species
GACGAACGCUGGCGGCGUGCCUAAUACAUGCAAGUAGAACGCAGUUGCGAACGGGUGAGUAACGCGUAGGUAACUGCCUCAUAGCGGGGGGUAACUAUUGGAAACGAUAGCUAAUACCGCAUACUGUGAGAUGGAACUGCGUUGGAUUAGCUAGUUGGUGAGGUAAAGGCUCACCACGGCGACGAUACAUAGCCGACCUUAGAGGGUGAUCCGCCAAACUGGGAACGGGAAACCGCCCAGACUCCCUCGGGAGGCAGCAGUAGGGAAUCUUCGGAAAUGGACGGAAGUCUUACCGAGCAAAGCCGCGGGAGUGAAGAAGGUGUUCGGAUCGUAAAGCUCUGUUGUUAGAGAAGCGUUAACUAACCAGAAAGGAACGGCUAACUACGUGCCAGCAGCCGCGGUAAUAC